rnacentral:rRNA from 1 species
CUAGUGGCGGACGGGUGAGUAACGCGUAAGAAUCUAACUUCAGGACGGGGACAACAGUUGGAAACGACUGCUAAUACCCGAUGUGCCGCAAGGUGAAACCUAAUUGGCCUGAAGAAGAGCUUGCGUCUGAUUAGCUAGUUGGUGGGGUAAAGGCCUACCAAGGCGACGAUCAGUAGCUGGUCUGAGAGGAUGAGCAGCCACACUGGGACUGAGACACGGCCCAGACUCCUACGGGAGGCAGCAGUGGGGAAUUUUCCGCAAUGGGCGAAAGCCUGACGGAGCAACGCCGCGUGAGGGAGGAAGGUCUUUGGAUUGUAAACCUCUUUUCUCAAGGAAGAAGUUCUGACGGUACUUGAGGAAUCAGCCUCGGCUAACUCCGUGCCAGC